CGGGCACGCGAUUGUCAACUCCAGAGGAGUGGGAGACGCAAGCACCAAAGUCAACUAGUUAGCUGAUCGUUGUCCUGUUCAUUACUUAAAUCACUCUCUGUGAUGAGGUUACCCUGUGGUGAGAAGGUUCCAGAGUGAAGUGGAGGGAUCCAUGCGAUGCAUGCUGAGGGCCAUGUGGGCCCUCCAGGGACGCCCAUCCCGGAGUUCAGGACGUGAGUGGUCAGGUCGCUGUAUGGAGCUGCCAUCUCUGCACUCUACAGCGCAUACACCGAUAGCAUAAUUCCCUGCGCUCAGCAGAACACCAUGACCUAACAGAUCUGGCGGCCAACAGAAGUUCUGUGCUCAGGCAGGGAGGAGAGACGGAGUGAGCAAUCGGGAGAGAGAACAGCGCCACGGUCCCCGGCACAGAUGAGGGGCUCUGUGUUCUAAUGGGGAACUCGAGUGGAAGACAGAGAAAAUAACAACUAUUUGCCAAACUCUCACAGCAGGAAAACUAAGACAGACUGACUCACUCUAACUCUCUCUCUCCCUCUUUUUCUCUAUCAUUUUCUCUCCCUGCAGCAAUGUUCUAGUUGGUAAUCUGUGUCAUUUAGCACUGGGAGGAGAGAGAGAGAGUCAGGACAGAAAACAAUUUCCAUUUCCUCUUCCAUUAUCCAAGCCAUCUUCUGUUAUUAGAGUGGCUAAACUCUUCAACCAAGUCUGAGACAAGCAGACAGACAUGUCAGGUAUUAGUGCCUUUCUGCAGUUUGAAAACAUAGGAGACCACAUAGUGCAUUACAGUAUCAUCAUCCUUUAACCCGAGCACUCCGGAGAGGCAAUGUAACACCACCUGCCUGGUGAAAAGACUGAUUCCCGGCUCCAGAAUGGUCACCAUGACCAAAAUGACUGCUGGGAGAUCAUAAAUCAGUGGUAUUCCCCUAGGUUAUUUGUUGAUGUAAAAUUUGAAAUGUACCAAUUUUAAGGUCUUAAGGUUUAAGGUUAGAUUUGGCGUGGGAUCACUAGAAUUUUUGGGGGAAAAAAUGGGGUCCCCAGAAAUUCUGGCGGAAAAAUGGGAUCCCCGCUGAAAAAGUUUCAAUACCACUAGACAUAAACAGUAUCUAUUAGAACCACAGCACAUCUCUCGACCAUAAUGUUGAGCAAUUAGUGCUUUUUGAGGUCGGUUUGGUUUCAGUUCGAUUCUUUAAAAAAAUCUAUUUUUUUGAUUUCGGUUUCAAAUUAUAAUUUUUUUCAUUAAUUACACUAUGCGUUAUGUGGGUUCAAUGCUGUAACAACAGAUAAUAAAACAAGUCCCAUGAUGGUAGUACAUGACAAUUACUACUUAUCAUUUAUUCAC